rnacentral:rRNA from 3 species
AAUCCAUAGGUUAAUGAGGCGAACCGGGGGAACUGAAACAUCUAAGUACCCCGAGGAAAAGAAAUCAACCGAGAUUCCCCCAGUAGCGGCGAGCGAACGGGGAGGAGCCCAGAGCCUGAAUCAGCAUGUGUGUUAGUGGAAGCGUCUGGAAAGGCGCGCGAUACAGGGUGACAGCCCCGUACACAAAAGCGCAUGUGCUGUGAGCUCGAUGAGUAGGGCGGGACACGUGGUAUCCUGUCUGAAUAUGGGGGGACCAUCCUCCAAGGCUAAAUACUCCUGACUGACCGAUAGUGAACCAGUACCGUGAGGGAAAGGCGAAAAGAACCCCGGCGAGGGGAGUGAAAAAGAACCUGAAACCGUGUACGUACAAGCAGUGGGAGCACCCUUUGGGUGUGACUGCGUACCUUUUGUAUAAUGGGUCAGCGACUUAUAUUCUGUAGCAAGGUUAACCGAAUAGGGGAGCCGGAGGGAAACCGAG